rnacentral:rRNA from 1 species
CAGCCGCCACGGUAAUACGUAGGGUGCAAGAGUUAAUCGGAAUUACUGGGCGUAGAGCGUGCGCAGGCGGUCCGCUAAGACAGAUGUGAAAUCCCCGGGCUUAACCUGGGAACUGCAUUUGUGACUGGCGGGCUAGAGUAUGGCAGAGGGGGGUAGAAUUCCACGUGUAGCAGUGAAAUGCGUAGAGAUGUGGAGGAAUACCGAUGGCGAAGGCAGCCCCCUGGGCCAAUACUGACGCUCAUGCACGAAAGCGUGGGGAGCAAACAGGAUUAGAUACCCCCGUAGUCCCUGUCUCUUAUAC